GUGGUAUCCUGUCUGAAUAUGGGGGGACCAUCCUCCAAGGCUAAAUACUCCUGACUGACCGAUAGUGAACCAGUACCGUGAGGGAAAGGCGAAAAGAACCCCGGCGAGGGGAGUGAAAAAGAACCUGAAACCGUGUACGUACAAGCAGUGGGAGCACCCUUCGGGGUGUGACUGCGUACCUUUUGUAUAAUGGGUCAGCGACUUAUAUUCUGUAGCAAGGUUAACCGAAUAGGGGAGCCGGAGGGAAACCGAGUCUUAAUUGGGCGUUAAGUUGCAGGGUAUAGACCCGAAACCCGGUGAUCUAGCCAUGGGCAGGUUGAAGGUUGGGUAACACUAACUGGAGGACCGAACCGACUAAUGUUGAAAAAUUAGCGGAUGACCUGUGGCUGGGGGUGAAAGGCCAAUCAAACCGGGAGAUAGCUGGUUCUCCCCGAAAGCUAUUUAGGUAGCGCCUCGUGAAUUCAUCUCCGGGGGUAGAGCACUGUUUCGGCUAGGGGGCCAUCCCGGCUUACCAACCCGAUGCAAACUGCGAAUACCGGAGAAUGUUAUCACGGGAGACACACGGCGGGUGCUAACGUCCGUCGUGAAGAGGGAAACAACCCAGACCGCCAGCUAAGGUCCCAAAGUCAUGGUUAAGUGGGAAACGAUGUGGGAAGGCCCAGACAGCCAGGAUGUUGGCUUAGAAGCAGCCAUCAUUUAAAGAAAGCGUAAUAGCUCACUGGUCGAGUCGGCCUGCGCGGAAGAUGUAACGGGGCUAAACCAUGCACCGAAGCUGCGGCAGCGACACUGUGUGUUGUUGGGUAGGGGAGCGUUCUGUAAGCCUGUGAAGGUGUGUCGUGAGGCAUGCUGGAGGUAUCAGAAGUGCGAAUGCUGACAUAAGUAACGAUAAAGCGGGUGAAAAGCCCGCUCGCCGGAAGACCAAGGGUUCCUGUCCAACGUUAAUCGGGGCAGGGUGAGUCGACCCCUAAGGCGAGGCCGAAAGGCGUAGUCGAUGGGAAACGGGUUAAUAUUCCCGUACUUGGUGUUACUGCGAAGGGGGGACGGAGAAGGCUAUGUUGGCCGGGCGACGGUUGUCCCGGUUUAAGCGUGUAGGUGUGUGUUCCAGGUAAAUCCGGUUCACUUUAACACUGAGGCGUGACGACGAGGCACUACGGUGCUGAAGCAACAAAUGCCCUGCUUCCAGGAAAAGCCUCUAAGCAUCAGGUAACAUCAAAUCGUACCCCAAACCGACACAGGUGGUCAGGUAGAGAAUACCAAGGCGCUUGAGAGAACUCGGGUGAAGGAACUAGGCAAAAUGGUGCCGUAACUUCGGGAGAAGGCACGCUGACACGUAGGUGAAGUGAUUUACUCAUGGAGCUGAAGUCAGUCGAAGAUACCAGCUGGCUGCAACUGUUUAUUAAAAACACAGCACUGUGCAAACACGAAAGUGGACGUAUACGGUGUGACGCCUGCCCGGUGCCGGAAGGUUAAUUGAUGGGGUCAGCGCAAGCGAAGCUCCUGAUCGAAGCCCCGGUAAACGGCGGCCGUAACUAUAACGGUCCUAAGGUAGCGAAAUUCCUUGUCGGGUAAGUUCCGACCUGCACGAAUGGCGUAAUGAUGGCCAGGCUGUCUCCACCCGAGACUCAGUGAAAUUGAACUCGCUGUGAAGAUGCAGUGUACCCGCGGCAAGACGGAAAGACCCCGUGAACCUUUACUAUAGCUUGACACUGAACAUUGAGCCUUGAUGUGUAGGAUAGGUGGGAG
rnacentral:rRNA from 1 species